AUAGGAUCCAUGCUCUUUUAAGAAUUAUAUUUGUAAUUUUUUUUAUUUUCAAGAUAAUUUUCCCAAAAUAUGGCUACUCUGCCAACAAGAUAUAUAUAUAUAUAUAUAUAUAUAGAAAUUGGAAAAACGAGACAUUCUCAAUUUGGAUUCGUCUAACUAAUACUUUGUCUAAUAUUUUUUGUCUUUCUAGGAUUUUAAUUAAUAUUAAUACGAUUAUGCCCUUAGAUUAAUCAAAAUUUAACUUGAUUAAAAAAUAUAAUAAUUGUUAAUUGUUUUGUUAAUACAAUUUUGUCAGUAAAAAAGGAAGUUAAAAAAAAAGAAAAGAAGCAAAGCACGGUAAACCUAAAAAUCUUGACUUCCUUCUCUCAUCUUCUUCGCUUCCAGACGAAAGCUUACCUCUUUCAUCCAUGAUUGUUCGGAUUCUUUUCCUUUCACUCAGUUUUUUUAUGAGGUUAAGUACAGUCUUGAUGCUUGAAGAGAGACAAGCUGGAACAUUUCAAGCGCCCAAGAUCUUUCUACGCUUUGAUUGAACACUUUGUACCAUUUUUUUCCAAAGUGAAUAACAAUUGUGUAUUUGUGUUUAUUCCAAGAGCCAGGAACAUAUUCCUCUUAUUGUUAACUAAACCGACGAAGUUAAACCAAUAAUGUAAUUUCAUUGAUGUUUUACUAAACACUGUGCAUAAAUAACAAACUUUGUUACAGCUC